rnacentral:lncRNA from 1 species
AUACUGUUGAAGGGAGAGAGAGUCAUACUGUUGAAGGGAGAGAGAGUCAUGCUGUUGAAGGGAGAGAGAGUCAUGCUGUUGAAGGGAGAGAGAGUCAUGCUGUUGAAGGGAGAGAGAGUCAUACUGUUGAAGGGAGAGAGAGUCAUGCUGUUGAAGGGAGAGAGAGUCAUACUGUUGAAGGGAGAGAGAGUCAUGCUGUUGAAGGGAGAGAGAGCCAUACUGUUGAAGGGAGAGAGAGUCAUGCUGUUGAAGGGAGAGAGAGUCAUACUGUUGAAGGGAGAGAGAGUCAUACUGUUGAAGGGAGAGAGAGUCAUACUGUUGAAGGGAGAGAGAGCCAUACUGUUGGCGGGAAAGAGAGACAUACUGUUGAAGGGAGAGAGAGUCAUACUUUUGGGGGUGAGAGAGCCAUACUGUUGAAGGGAGAGAGAGUCAUACUGUUGGGGGUGAGAGAGCCAUACUGUUGAAGGGAGAGAGAGCCAUACUGUUGGGGGGAGAGUAAGCCAUACUGUUGAAGGGAGAGAGAGUCAUACUGUUGAAGGGAGAGAGAGCCAUACUGUUGGGGGGAAAGAGAGACAUACUGUUGAAGGGAGAGAGAGUCAUGCUGUUGAAGGGAGAGAGAGCCAUACUGUUGAAGGGAGAGUGAGCCAUACUGUUGAAGGGAGAGUGAGCCAUACUGUUGAAGGGAGAGUGAGCCAUAAUGUUGAAGGGAGAGAGAGCCAUACUGUUGAAGGGAGAGAGAGUCAUACUGUUGAAGGGAGAGAGAGUCAUACUGUUGAAGGGAGAGAGAGUCAUACUGUUGAAGGGAGAGAGAGUCAUACUGUUGAAGGGAGAGAGAGUCAUACUGUUGAAUGGAGAGAGAGCCAUACUGUUGAAGGGAGAGAGAGUCAUGCUGUUGAAGGGAGAGUAAGCCAUACUGUUGAAGGGAGAGAGAGUCAUACUGUUGAAGGGAGAGAGAGCCAUACUGUUGGGGGGAAAGAGAGACAUACUGUUGAAGGGAGAGAG